CAUGCAAGUCGAGGGGAAACGACAUCGAAAGCUUGCUUUUGAUGGGCGUCGACCGGCGCACGGGUGAGUAACGCGUAUCCAACCUGCCCANCACUUGGGNAUAACCUUGCGAAAGUAAGACUAAUNCCCAAUGAUAUCCCACGAAGGCAUCCGAAUGGGAUUAAAGAUUUAUCGGUGAUGGAUGGGGAUGCGUCUGAUUAGCUUGUUGGCGGGGUNACGGCCCACCAAGGCUNCGAUCANUAGGGGUUC
rnacentral:rRNA from 1 species